UCUUCGUUGCAAAUUGUGAUU
rnacentral:piRNA from 1 species